GACGAACGCUGGCGGCGUGCUUAACACAUGCAAGUCGAGCGGUAAGGCCCUUUCGGGGGUACGACGAGCGGCGAACGGGUGAGUAACACGUGGGUGACCUGCCCUUAGCUCUGGGAUAAGCCUGGGAAACUGGGUCUAAUACCGGAUAUGACUCCAUAACGCAUGUUGUGGGGUGGAAAGCCUUGUGCGGCUAGGGAUGGGCCCGCGGCCUAUCAGCUUGUUGGUGGGGUGAUGGCCUACCAAGGCGACGACGGGUAGCCGGCCUGAGAGGGCGACCGGCCACACUGGGACUGAGACACGGCCCAGACUCCUACGGGAGGGCAGCAGUGGGGAAUCUUGCGCAAUGGGCGAAAGCCUGACGCAGCGACGCCGCGUGGGGAGUGACGGCCUCGG
rnacentral:rRNA from 1 species